ensembl:lncRNA DIRC3 disrupted in renal carcinoma 3
AGAGCCCAGCGUGCGCGGCCUUGCGUGCGUGCACACGCAUAUGUGUCCAGGUGCCUACGCAGGUGCCUGACCCUGGGCAAGUCGCUCCGUCAUGCGGACCUCAGUUUUCUCAUCUGUCCGACGAAGCAUGAUUUUCUGGUCAGACUGCAUCAGCUCCCUCUUCUCCACCAGGACAGUAGGGAUCUACAGCCCAAGAACCAAAGACUUUGGACAUUUUGUUCUACUUGGGAAGUUUGUAAUGUUAUCUUCUGCUGUGGAGCAUAGUGCAAAGAAAUAGGGGGAAGAAAGGUGGGUUUCUUCUGUCUCCACCCCAAAGACCAAGGAUACUUUCUUCCCUGAGGGUUGCCUCUGCAUUGCAAGUUUUUUCUGACCCUUCACUACACAGAUGGACAACUCAGGUGGCCAGAGGACUUCAACUGAAUGGAAUUACACAAUGAUUUGUUGAACAUGUAUUGUGCACCAGGGAGUAUGUGAGGCUAUGUGGUAGGCAUGAGAUGAACAAUGGAAGAUUCUUGCCCCAUGGAAGGUGACCACUGGAAUUAGAAAUCCUAGCAUCACCUAAGGAAAGGCUCAGAUCUUCCCUGGUGGAGGUUGGGGAUCUUCCCGAAGGGACCUUUUGGACCCAGAGCUCUUGUAUCAUUGCCUCUUGGCAAGAGGUUUAGAGACUCCCUUCAUCAUGAAGUUUCACAGACUCCUUCAGCCUUUAUCUUUCCUGAGUUCUAUGGGGAAAAGCUAGGUUAGAUAUGUGGAGUGACUCACCGAGACCUGAGAAGGCAUCUGCAUGAGGCUGCGGGGGUGUCCUUAGAGAAAAGGGAAGCUGCAGUGUGGAGGCUGGGGGAUGCACAAGAUGAUCUCCAGAGUCUCUCAGCCUUCAGAAGCGCAGGCUCUCUGAGGCCACAUUCCUUCCUGGUCUGGCUCAGUGGAGGCUGUGUUUCCCCACUGUUGCUUUUUGCAUGGAUUUGUUCAGCAGUUGAAUGGGCAGAGAAGGAGGAGUCUCUCCCUUCCUGUUCUCACACAGCUCUGCUUCAUGGACACCCACACAGAUUCACUGGAGAGCAAAGCCUACCAGAGUCCCUGUCAGCAGCACUGUUUCUAGAAGCUUCCACAUGAGCAGACAGCAUGGAGUCCUGGGGGCUAAUGAAGCAGCAAUGUCAGCAUGAGCACAGGCAGGGAGAGGCAAGAGGAGCAGAGUAAAGGGGAACGUUCUCUUCAUUCUUCCACCUGCCUGUCCCCCAGCCGACACGUCCCUUCCGUUCCCUGCAAGGCCAUUUCCAGGGAGGCUUACGAAGACAGCAGAUGAUGGUGAUGGAAGGAGUCUGGGUGCUGAGCUGUGCCAUGGACCUGGAGAGAAACUGAGUCCGAGGGAUGUCAACAUGCCAAGUCCAUGGAAAUAUCAGUGGGCUGGAAUUCUAGCUGCCUGAAAGAAGACAUUCCUCACACAAGACCUCACAAUCAUAUCCAUGGAAUUAUAGCACUGGGCUCUCCAGAUGGUGCUACAGGAAGACCUCCAGAAAUUUGACAAUCCUCUAUUCAAGGCCCUACCACAGAGACACACAGGAACGGAACUCAGAAUCACAAACAAAGAAACUUUGAUCCAAGAAAGAAAAUGAUCUUUAAAAAGACCCUCGUUUCAUGCUGGCCGAUGCUGAGAAAAUCUGCUCUGAAGGAUAUUUGGAGACACUGAUUAAAAGAUGGUUGUCCCAGUGGAGGGGGAUUCUUCGUGUUACGUAGAUAGGAAGCACGAUGCAAAAGUGUUGAAGCAGGAGUGUAAAGAAUAAUUAAAACACCUGCCCAAGACCCAAGCAAGGAUAGGAUUUCCCAGACAUUCGUGAGGGAGAAAAUGCCAUGUCCUUUCCUUCUGGUGUCACAUCAGAAUCUGAAGGCUGCUAGAGAAGGGAGAGAAACAUGAAAGUGAGUCCCAUGCUGAUUGUUGUUGAAAUACCUGGAAAGAAACUGGCAAAGACUAUCCAAGGGAUGCUAAGACAUGUCCGAACUUACAAAACAGUAGAACCUGAAUAGGAAUUUGAAGUUGUCUAUACUCUCCUCAGCCACACCCUGCCAUUUUACAGAUUGUCUUCUCUGGGGAAGUUAGCUGUCAUGUUGUGAGGAUACUCAAGCAGUUUAUAAAGAGGUUCAUGUCGCAAGGAAUGGAGGCCUCCUGCCAACAGCCAUGUAAAGGAGCCAUCUAGGAAAUAGAUUCUCCAGCCCCAGUCAGACCUUCAGAUGAUUACAGCCCCUACCAACCUUCUGACUGCGGUGGAAGGAAGGUUCCGGAACCAGAACCACCCAGGUUAAUGUGGGUAAGUCUCAUCCAAUCCUUUGAAGGCCUGAAGAACAAAGAGUGAGGUUUCUGGAAGAAGAAAAUUUUACCUCAAGCCUGCAAUGUAGAAAUUCUGCUUGAGUUUCCCGCCUGCUGGCCUGCCCUGUGGAAUUCGGAGUCAAGAAGGAGUCUUGUAAGCAUUAACUGAGAUAGUAUAUGAAGAGUGCUUUUGCACCGAGUGAACCUUCAAUCAACUGUACUAGUUUGUAUGCCUGGAAGAGCUGCUAUAUGGGAUCAGAAAGAAAAAUAAGGUGCAUACGCC